CCUACGGGCGGCUGCAGUGGGGAAUAUUGGACAAUGGGGGCAACCCUGAUCCAGCCAUGCCGCGUGUGUGAAGAAGGCCCUCGGGUUGUAAAGCACUUUCAGUGAGGAAGAACGCCUGGUGGUUAAUACCCAUCAGGAAAGACAUCACUCACAGAAGAAGCAACGGCUAACUCCGUGCCAGCAGCCGCGGUAAUACGGAGGGUGCGAGCGUUAAUCGGAAUUACUGGGCGUAAAGCGCGCGUAGGUGGCUUGAUAAGCCGGUUGUGAAAGCCCCGGGCUCAACCUGGGAACGGCAUCCGGAACUGUCAAGCUAGAGUGCAGGAGAGGAAGGUAGAAUUCCCGGUGUAGCGGUGAAAUGCGUAGAGAUCGGGAGGAAUACCAGUGGCGAAGGCGGCCUUCUGGACUGACACUGACACUGAGGUGCGAAAGCGUGGGUAGCAAACAGGAUUAGAUACCCCGGUAGUC
rnacentral:rRNA from 1 species